rnacentral:misc_RNA from 1 species
UUGAAUGAAUCUAGAGUUGGUUGUCGCUGGCCCCGCAAUUUAGGGGCAUGUGCACGCCUUCUCUUUUCAUGCACACACACCUGUGCACUUGUGAGACGGAGGAUUAAUUUCCUCCGUCUACUAAUCACACAAACUCAUCGUACUUAAACUGAAUGUAAUUGAUGUAACACAUCAUUUGAACU